AGCGCGGGGAGGGGCGCGGGACUGGGGACCGGGCAAGGUGCGCGCGGGGGCCCGCAGGAAUCUCAGGAAAUGUUUGUUGGGCAUUUGGGAGAAACUCUGCCCUUGGGACAAGGCUCCUUGCUUUUGCCCCGGCCAGCGAAAGUGGCGGAUUUUACAGCAGAACUCAAGGGGAAGCAGGCAGGACUGGCUGGAAAGAAGGGGGACCGUGAAGACCCGUCUGGACGGGGACCAGAGAUGAACGAAUGCGCUUGUGGGGAGCCCUGGGGCAUGAUGUGUGGACGUUGCCAUGCCAGUGUUUGAUGUUUGUUGCUUAUGGUUAUUUUAGGACUAAAUUAUUUUUUGAAAAAAGUUACUUGGGAAAGAGGGAACUGCUUGAAUGGUCAUAAGUCCUUCCCUGUUUAUGCAGGAAAUAAGUUAAUCUUUCACACCACCACCCCCAACUGAAUCUGUGCCCAGUGGACUUUAAAAAUAAUAAAUACAAAACUCUAAAGCCCCGAAACAAGGUAAUGUUUGUCUGAUGAGUUUCAGGUGUCAGGCUCCGUGUUCCGUGGGAGAGAAAGGGAAGGACACCGAAGUAUUUGAUACGCUUUAGCAGUCGCUGUUUUGUAAAAAGCUUUGGAGCCCAUCAAAAGUGGAGUUUAGUUUUCACUGCCAGGGUUAAGUAAUCACUUUGACCCUGUGCCACCCACCAAUCAGGAGCUUCCCUGAAAGUAACUUGGAAGACCGCUACCAGCCCAGUGCUCUGUCGACUGGGAAUAACCAGUGCUUCCGCUGUUUUUUUUUUUUUCCUCUUUAUUUUUCCACUAUUAUAAUGCAUGCUACCAAACGUUAGAAUAAAUUGUCCAUCGUUAAACUGCUCUCCACUGAGUCACUUUGAAAUGAUCAACCGCUAGCUGUGACAUGUCUUUCAUAUUUGAAAGUUAUUUGGAAAUUUCAAAUGCAGUUUUUUCAAAUUGAUAAUUUCUUUUUUUUUUGAGUAUAAGUCUAGCUUAAAUAGAUUACACCAAGUGGGUAAUGUGUUCUAAAAUUUAAAUCUCAUCCAAGAAAAUGUCUGAUUUGUGAAAGGUGCAGGCUUAACAUCUGAGGAAUUGUCUAAAGGAGUCUUUGGUGAUAAGAGAACAGCCAGGACACUCUGUCUUGUGAGUUUCGUAACUGGCAGGCUCUGCAUAUACAAACUUGCCCCGUAUCCAAGCCUUUCGGAUAUGUGGGUGCUCCUGUUGAUCAUGGAUCUUGGAUUAUUUGUCAUUUUCAAAAAGUUAUCAACACAGAACCCUCUUUUUGAAAUUGAGUCCUUGUCGCAUGUAGCCAGGGUACUGAAGGUUUUCAGUACAAGAUAUAAGGGAGGAUUAUUCAUUUCUGGGUCUUGUUAAUACUUUCUGUGCAGCAAUUUUUAUACCCGGUUCUGUGCUUUUACGUCUUGCUUCGUUGGCUGUUGCUAACAUGCACAGUCCUGUGAUGGGGUACUUGGAUGUUACAACCUAAAACAUUUCCUGUAUUCAAUACAUAUUUAAUUUUCUUCCUUCUCUCUUUUUAAAGGGAACCCCAGAAUUGGGCAAAUCAACACUUACUCAGCAUAUCCCCCUUCUAGGUGUCAUUGACCUUGGUGACAUCAUGGAGGUCAUGUGUUAUGGAGAUAAACAGUUUUGGGUUUCCUCCAGGUGAUAAAGACACAUGAGAAAGUGAUCUGAUAUAUGAAUACCUUGAUUUUUUUUUAAAUCGUUUUUAUCAGGCAUUUACAAUAAAUCAUUGCCAAAAAUAAUUCAUUGACCUCCUUUUGGGAAUACAUGUAUUUCUAUUUUACAUUAAAAAAUAAUAGGUUAAUUUCUUUUUUUCAAUUUUUCUAGUAUUGCUUGUGUAGUCUACCACAGAUGAACAACUGGUUUUUUGGGUGACAUUUUUAAAACUUGGGAAAUAGGGAGAAGGGCAGUAAUGCUGGGACAAAUUUGGCCUAUGAAAGCCACUGUACUCACUGUAAGAAAUUCGAUAUUUUCAAGUAUAAGAUUAUAAAACAAAUAUAUGAGAAUUUUAUAUUUUACAAAAGGAUUCACUAAAAGGUGCCUUCAAAUAAUUAAUACCUUUUUUAUGGAACUUAUAAAAUGUGAUUUGAUUUACGAAAAAUUAGUUGGCUUACAACAAUUUAAGAACAGAUUUUUGACGUGAUGUAAGAUUUAACCAGGGUGUUCCUUGAAUUACUACUUUUCUGAAAAUGGGGCAAGGUUAUUAUUUAUGGGCUUCUUAAAUUCAAAGUUGUGCCACUUAUAUGCUACCUAUUAAUGUUAUAACUGAAUGGAAAACUUGUCUGAUUUGUGCUGAACUAUUUAAGGAGUACACUGAAACCUAAUUAAAAUGCCACAGUUUUAUGGUCAGGUUUGUCUGGAACCCCUUCCAAGAUAGUUUAGUUACUGAGGUAUCAAAAGCACCUUAUUAAAAGAUACUCUCACUAGGACGGUGGUCCUGCAGUCUAGGCCAACAAGUGGUUAUACCCAGACUUCAGCAAAAUCAAAAUAAAUAGAUAUGGUCUGAAGUCCACAUGUAGUGAAAACCAUUACCUUGAAUUUUUCUCUAGGUGCAGAUUAUUAUCCACAAUUAAAGGCUUGAUUUUCCUAAGCUGCAGUUCUGUUUGGGUCAAUUGUAAAAAAUUCUUUUUUUUUUUUUUUUUUAAGAAAGAACAACUACAUACACUUUAAACUUUAAAGGAGGCUUUUUUUUUUUUUUUUUGGUAGUGCAAUUCGGUUUAUUUGGAAUCACAGGAGAUAUUGAAUAAAGACUUGGGGAGUUUUCUGAAAUCAUUUUGCUUUGGUGAUAUUAAAAAAAAGGAAUGUGAGUUAAUAAGAAUAGAACUUGCUUAUGGGUUAGUUCAAACUUUAUGUUGGCAUAAGGGAGAAAGGGAGGAACUAGCCACAAACUUUAUUAGGGAUAAUUAAUCAAAUUUAUUUUGCUGUAUACUCUUCAUUCCUGGCUUCUCCAGAGUGAUACCCUUCCUCCCCACUAUUAAAGAAGUCUUUUUCUUAGAGAAGGGAUUUAAAGGGUAAGAGCUAAGCAUGCCAGGUAUGUUAGUGUUCAAAGUAUCUUUUGAGAGUUUUAAUAGUUUUUGUUCUGUUUUUAUGCAUUAGAAAGCAAGAAAUUAUUUUCAUGCUGACUAUGGGUUGAGAGCCCAACUUUGGAAUAAUGGGCACAGUUUUACUCCUCUUAACUUAUUAUUAUAAAAAGAGAGGGAGCAGAUCGAAUGAUGCCACUGAGUUUUUAGUAUAGGCUCUUAGUUCCCCUUUUGAACAAAUGAAUAAAAAUUAAGAUUGAAGAAGUGAUAUUAAGAGAAAUAUUUAAUUUUUUAAAACCCCAAGGGGCUCUCGCAAAGACUUGCUAAUUUUAGAACAUGGUAGGGUAAAUAAGUUCAUUACUUAGAUUUAUCAUUAAUGAAGGCAUGUAAUUUAAAAGAUUUUUAAGUACAUGCAAAAUAUAAGUAGACUGCUGCAUUUUAAAAAUAUUUGUGCCAAGAUCUGUGAGAAUAGAGGUAAUGAUUAGAAUUUUUAAUUGGAAUUUAAGGCUGAUUUAUGCUCUCUAGUUUCAUUAUUUAACCCAGCGCCACUUUAAAAAUGUCACUUAAUUUUUCUGUUCCCAGUUUUUUCUAUAAAAUGCAAUCAGUAGUGUAGCAUACUUUAUGUAAAUUGGGUUUUUAAGUAAUAUAUGCUAGACUCGUAAGCAAAACAUAUUACCUAAUACUAAUAUGUUUAUGUAAGUCCAUUGAGUGGGAUUGAAAAACGUUUAGACCUUGUAAUCUGCAGAACUUUGGGCAAAAGUUUUAAAGAGUUCAGAAUUUUAGUCAUAGAUGUUCCUGUAAAUUGCAUUUUCCUCAUUUACCUGAACGGAUUUCCUUUCACAGUUACGUCUUUCCAGACUCCAGACAUGCUCGUUUUUAGUGUUGGGUCAUCUCAUCUAUAGCAUCAGUAGGAAGUUCAGAAUUUCAAACCUGUCUUCUUUGUAUUUCUCAAUGUUCCAUCUGGGAGAGUGUUUGAAUUUCAAUUAUUGAAUCUGGUUUAAUCAGAAUUCAUUCUAAAUGAAAAGGUUAUUACGAUUUUCACAAACUAGGAGGAGAUAUAAAUUUAUUUUGAGAUAAUUUAUGAACAUUUUUGUAUUACUGUAGGGACAAUUAAACAGAAUGUAUAAUUUAAUAUUUCUACUAGCAUUUAUUCUAAGUCAACUUUAUGUAGUAGUUGUCUCUUAAAAAGAUGUAUUUGUCUGUGGAAUAUUUUUCAAAAAACUUGCCCUUAAAUGUCGAGAGAUGAAAUUUUACUUUGAAACCUCCUAAUUGAAUAUAUAGUCAAAUGUGUAUAGUUAAAUGUUUAUUAUUGGGUAUUGUUUUGAUUAUUAUUUUACAUAUGAGGAUUUUUUUGUAUGUCUUUGUAAGAUUACUUUCAAGUAUAUUUUUAUUUAUAAAAAGCUUUCCUUUAAAAAUAAGUCGUUUUGAUCUUAAUGAUUAUUUGAUAGUCCUCAGACUUUUAUAUAUGAAAGAAGUCGAAAUGAAUAAUUUAUUAAACUGUUUCCCCAAAAUGCAGUAAUUUGGUUGGAACAUGUAGUAUGACUUAUUUUCCUAUAAUGUAGAGUUAGUUAUCUUUAUCUCUCUCAAAUUUAUAGCAGAAUAGUUGGCUGUUUUUGCAAAUUUAGGGGGUAUAGAAUAUGCCCAGAAAUAACCUUUCGAACACUAAGUGUUGGACUGAGUUUACAAUAUCAUGUGGAAAUGGUACUUUCCUUAUAAUGACAUUUAUGUUAUUUCUGUCUAAAUACCGUUUCUUAAACAUGCCUAUAAGUGAAUAUAUUGUACGUGUCAGUCAAAUGAUGUAUUUAAUUUACAUCUAUGUUUCUCUUCCCUCUUCCUCCUUUUAAUAAUCGUCAAUCGUUGGCCUUUAGCCACAUGCUGAGGGAAAGUUUGUGAUGUGUGUGAGUGGCUGGCCCAGAGUGGCGGUUGGUUUUUUCCUCGUGUCUUAUCUGAUGGAAAAAGGUGAGAUUAUUCUGUGACUCUUAAUAUGUAUUAAACAUUGUUUUGAGAAUUUAUUUUUAAUCAAUCUAUUUAUAAAGGGGAUGUUUAAGAAUGUUUAAGAUGUUAUGUUCCCUGGAAAUAGUUUGAGAAGCAGGAGAAAGUGGCGGUAGAGAGAGGGAUUAGAUGAGAUUGUGUAAAGUGAAUAUAAUUAUUUUGAUGUAAAACAUUAAAUUAAUCAUGAUAUACCUUUUCCCUAGGAUUGCAACCUUGCUUCUUGUUAGCGCUUCUCACUGAAGAGUUGAGGUAAGUUCCCAGGAAAGACAUAUGCAUAUCUUUAAUCAGUUUUACAUACUAUCACUAGCAACAUAUUAGAUGGCUAUGAGAAAGUUAAACAGUUUUACACCGAUGAUCAUUUUUAGUAGUCACAUUUAGUGCUCCAGAUUUUAUAAGAUGGGAGAACAGAUGCUCAAGUGAUAGGUGGGGAAGGAUUUUCAGAUACAAAGUUAUUGUUAAGAAAAUUCGAGUACACCAAUCUUAAAAAAAUUACAUCAUACCAAUUACAGUCAUACAUCCUAUGUUUUCCAACACUGUACCAGUUUUGAAUACUCCAUGACUGUUCAUGUCCAACCAUAAAUCCUAACUUUUAGAAUUUAGAAAAUGUGGUCACUUAAAUUAUAGCUUAACUCAAGAGUGAAAAAGCUGAUAAUUAAUCUCUAUCUUCCUUUUUCUGUAUCAUAGCUUUCUGUCGUUGAAUUUGAAGGCUUAGUACUACCUUCUUGGUUAUAUAUUUUCCUAGUUCUGUAAUUGAAGAAAAACUAUGAGAAUGAAUCCUUACACCUGAGAAGUUAGAAUCACAUUGGGAGAGGCAUAAAGUAUAUGGAACAUAAUCGUGUCAGUGUAUUAAAAAAUUUUCUUUCUAAAGCAACAACGGUUUUGAAACAUUCUGUAAAGAGUUCUAGAGGACGUCAAGCAGGUUCGUUCCAGUUUCAGCCAGUGCAGUUUUACUUUGAUCAGUUUUAAGUGUGGAAGUUUGCAAAAGAUUUCAUUUGAGAUCAAGGUUCUGUUGUUUAAAAUAAAAAGCUCGAUAGCCACAUUGUUAGCAUAUUUAAUCUCAUCGUUAUCCCGCGUAAAUCCUGGCACUGAUUGGUCUUUUUAUUAUGACUUCUGAGACUUCUUUAUCUAGCUCCAGUUUCAUUCUUCCUCUCUUAUCACUGUCUCCCCUGCUUUUCAUGUACGCCCUGCAUUCUAGUGCUACUUAAAUUGCUUAAUGUUCCCUAAGAGGAAAGCGUUCCAUCUCCAUGCUUUUGUACGUGGAACUGCCAUCAUUCUUGUCAUGCUAGGCGAAACUGUUUCUUGGGAACCUUAGUCAUAGCUCCAUAAAAGCACUUAUUUCAUUGUUGUGUAACUAUGGCCUCCCUUGAGAGCAGAGACCAUCUAAUUUAUCUUUGUAUCCAUACUACUAGAUGUUCAUUAAGUAUUCAGAUGUCUGAAUAAUUGCAUUUAGAAUUUGAGAAGUAGUAGAAUUACUUUAAUGCACACUCACGUGAAUAAAAUAUCCCAGAACUAGUCUGUGCAAAGUAUUUUUAGUGACACAGUGUCAAGUGUAAUGCUAAGUAUAUAAAAAGCAUCCAGUUGCACUUAUCAUAAAGUAUAAUAAAGCCAAGAGAUAGAUUAGGUACUAGUGGCUUAAAUGAAGUGAUGUAUUAGAUUCAGUCAUCUGAUCGUAAACAUUGGCCGUGAGAAAGCAUUUUAAUAAUAAUUCUAUACAGUCUUGAUUACCCAUGAAAAAAUUUCUCCCUAUGUGAUUAAAGCUAAUAGACCCAAAAAGACCUUCAAAUGUCCAAGAAUAUGAUGUAGUGGUACCUGCCCAUAAAGGUUAAAGAACGGGUCCUGGAGCUAUAUUGCCUGAGUUCACAUCCUUGUCCUGCCUGUCAAUAGCUGUGUGAUCUUAUACAAGUUACUUAACUAUCCUGUGCCUCCUUUUUCUAAUCUAUAAAAUGAGGACAUUAAUAAUACUACUUUUUAUAUGGCUGUGUUUGGUAUACGUGAAUUCAUGUAUGUUGAGCACUUAAAAGAAUGCCCAACCCACAGAAAAUAAUACAUGUUAGUUAUAAUUAAUUUCUAGUGGCUUCUUAUUUGAACAGACGUUUAUCGUGUAUCAUUUUUCAUCAUUUAAAAAUAAUUGCAUUAUUACACCAGUAUCUAAAAGAAAAAUUAGCAUUUUUAGUUACUGUAUCUUUAAACUGGCAACUGUUUUAUCUGCUUACUGACUCGUUCUCCGUUCUCCCAUCUCCCUGGUGGAAUGUAGACUGUUUCUGUCAGGUAGAUUGACAUGGGAUUGACAUGGGAGAUUUGAAACUCUGUUCUCCUGGAUCUGCAGCAGAGCAUUGUAUUCCCAUGACCUGUGCAGUUCUUGGUAGUGUCCACAGGAGAGGAGGGAGAAAUAACAAGUAUAGAAAUCCAGUGACAAAUUAAACAAGCCUUAACCUGUUCCACAUAAGCCCUAGACUUACAUGCUUCUUAGAGAGGAUAGGUGUUCAGCUUUUUUCCUUUUUACAUUUUCCUUGACUUUUUGGGCUUGAAAGAAUAAAGUUUUAAAAAUCUGAUUUUAUAUUCAUUCCAGAAAGGCACAUACAAAUUUAAAUUUAAUAAGUCAAUGAGCCUGUAUUUUAAGCUCAUUUUUUUUAUAUAUAUACCUGCAGUGAGAGAAAUAAGUAGGGCGUUAGUAAUUUGUGUCAGGGCAAUGCAAUCCUGUUAAAUAUGUCCAUUUAGGAUGCAAAGAAAAAUUUAAGGGAAGAAGAAAUUUGUAUUUCAAGUUAUCUUGUAAAGAGUAGUUAUUCAUGUCUUAUUAUAACAAGUAAUACCCAGCGUGUCUUUAUAGCCUACUUCGAUUUUCUCUUGUGUAACAAUUAAAAUAUAAUGAGAAGUUAGUGGGUGACUUUUAAAAAAUAUUUCAUUAAAGGAAGGAAUUUAACAAAUAAUUUUGAGUUUACUGUGCUGAGUGAUUUGAAGAUGAGGGGCUGGGAUUUGAAGAUAAGUCAGGCUUUUAUCUUUAUACACUACUUAGGACCCACUGGGAAACCAGAGUGUGCAGCUAACGAGUACAUGGGGCUUGAAAGCUGGCAACAGGAGUGGGAAAUGCUGGGUUUGAAUAGAAUAAGGAAAGAAAUCAGUGGAAGACCAUUUUUAAAUGCCAGUGGGAAAUUCGAAUGCUUAUACGAGUUGAUUGAUACACUAGUAUUGUCCUGUAAUUAGGACACUAAUUUAGUAUUAGCAAAUUUUUGCGUAAGUGCCAUUGUAGGAACUUGAAAAAUAUUUUUUGAACCUCCUUGGAAAUUAAAGGAGUUAGGUCAUACUAUGCAAAACAACUGCUAGAAUACAGUUUUGACUAAACCUUUCUUUUGUACAAACCAAGGCACCGCGACUGUGUUUAAUGUUAUCCAGCUUGAAAUUUCAUUUCCCUUCAACAGCCUGCCUUUCCAUGUUUGUUAGGCCAAACGACUUCUUGUUUUAUUUCUUCAGUUCUAGUUCCUUGUUGUUAUUACUAUUACUAUUAUUAUUAUUUAAUCAGAAAAGAUCAGAAAUGCUGUUUGGGCAUUUUUAAACUCCUCACAGAUGUUUGGUUGCAUGGAGGAGUCAGAUUUGUUCAACCCACACCCAGUCCAGGCUCCUCAGUAGCAUCGUUACCUUGUCGUCGUUCAGGCUUCCUUGUUUUAGAAGCUUUCUAAUAGCUAGAAAUAGCUUCUCUUUGAGCUAUCUCUGUUUCCCCUCCAACGCUGACUUACUGGUCCUUGGCAGUCUAGGGCUGCAUAUGUGAAACCUAUUCCUCUUACACACAAUAGCUCUUAAAAGUAUUGGAGAAUGACUGUUAACUCCUGCUUAAGUCUUUUUGCUAUUCUAAGAGGAAAAAGCCCUAAUUCUCAAACCAUGUGCACAUGAUAUGGUUUACAGACUUUUCUCCAUCCACAUUGCUAAACUGACAAAGUCUGUUUGUCAGUAUACCUCUUAAAAUACGGCGGCCAGAACUGAACAGACUACUUCAGAUACGGUCAGAUGAUUGUUAAGUACAAUGCAGCUAUUAUCUGGAUACUGUACUUCUGUUAAUGCAGCCCGAAAUUUGCAUUACAUUUUUUGGCAGCCACAUUGCCCUUUGAUCAUAUUGAGCUUAUGGUCAACUAAAACCUUGUCUCUUUUUCAUGUGAACUGCUUUAGGUCUAAUCUUUCUCAUUCUUUGUUUGCCAGUUGAUGCUUUGAAAGUAAGUGCAGGGUAUUAUGUGUAUGAUUCCUGUAGAAGUUGAAAUGAAUUUGUCUUUAUCAAAUUUCAUCCCAUUUGACUCUCUAGAGAUAAGAACUAACAUUUAUAUAAGGCAGCACAGUUUUCAUGGUGCUUUCACAUAUAUUUUAAUUUAAUCUUUACAACAACCAUCCAACAGUCAGAAGAGAAAAACGACUUUCCACUAAGUCAGGAAUUGGCAGACAUAGUACUUUGUCACAGGUUUUUGAUUCCAAGUCCCAUGCUCAUCUUAUCACUGUUCACUUUGUAAGCAUUUAGCUUGUCCUUUGCUAUGCGGCCAGCACCAUGUGGCUGGUGCAUCUAGUGAGCAAGACAGAUUUCAUUCUCUGUCCUUUGGUAUUUGUGGCCUGGCAUAUAAAUAAUUACUGCUAGUUACUGAGCACUUUCUAUUGGGAAGGCACUGUGGUAAGUUGUAUUACUGUUCAAAGUAUUUGUUGCCUCUCUCUGUCAGGGUCCUCUCUGUAAGAGGAUUAUAAUUUCUACUCUGUUGACAUCACAUUUGGACGCUUGACCUUCCUUGACCAAUAAAAUGUUAGAGGAAGUGACAUGUCCCACCUUUGAGCACAUGUUUUAAAUUCCAUCUUGUGAUUCUGCGGGUGGCUCUUUUCUGUCUCUCUUGGAACUAGAAUGCUUUAACUAGGGCUGGUCGCACAAUGAUGGAGCCUCCAGGCUGGUCAAUAUGUGCAGCUUACUAUAUAUGUAAUAUAUAGUAAGAACGAUGGAGCUUAGCUGAAACUAAUCCAUGAUAGACAUUUAAUGUAAGUGAGAAAUAAAUGCUUGUGUGGUAGGCACCAUGAUUUUGGAGCCAUUUGCGACCAUAGCCUAAUACAGCCCCAACAGUGUGAUACCGACCACAUUGAAGGUGCUGUAUGAAGAUAAAUAAGACAGGCCUUGUCCUCAGAGAGCUUGCAAUCUUGGUGGAUGCAUUAAAUUUCCACCAGUUAUUGGUAGUUGGGGAAUAGGAGAGUAUAUGUAUGAAAAUAUUUUUGACUUUGAGGAUCUUUCCUGACCUUCACCUUACCCCUAGGCCGAAUUAAUGUUUUAAAUCCUGGGUCUGUGGUCCAGCUAUGCACUGUCACAACUUCUAAUCGUCCAAAAUUUGAUAAAUGUGUUUUCUAUGUCCUUUUUUAAAACAAAUGUAUAAGAGAAUGGGCUUCUACAGAAUAGUCAUCAGAAACUCUCUUGGUAAAUCUCUUAAUCAGCAUUCACUAGAUAACCUAAGAGUCUGCCUAGUUGAACUGUUGGCAACAUAUUCUGGAAAAAUAUUAUGAGAUCCUAGGUUCUCUGUGAAUUUUAUUUGUGAGCAUUCAAAUUUCCUAUUGCCACAGCUGCAUGUACGCCUCACUCUGCAUGGGGUUUUAGAGACAAUCCCCGGGGUGGGAUUCUGUGAGGGAUUUCCUUAUCCUGAGAAGCUAAGGAAUACAUGGCCACGGUUCAAGGGAGCUCUUGAAACCUUUGAAAUAAUUAUGUGUAAAAUUAUGUGUAAAUACACAUCAUUCUGGGCCACAGCUUUCACCAGGUUAUCAGAGGGAAUCAUGAGUCCCCUGGAAGGCUACAGCCCUGUCGUAGAGUGGCACUAGAAGUACAGGGAUCUGGAGAGCACGACGUUUAGGGGGCGGGUAGAACAAGAACCCAGAAAGAAACUGAGAAGGAAUAAUAGAAAGGGUUGAGGACCGGGAGCAAAUAUAAUGUUACAGAAGCCAGUUCCACAUUAAUCAGGUUUUAAAAACUCUUCUGGAAUUUUGCAUGGAUUCUACAUUCAUCCUCAUGGUGCUUCUCUCUCAUUCCUUGGAAAUUACCAAGUUUGCUGAUUCAUUUAAUGUCUUAGGAUAUGAUUUUUCAUAAUUUAUAAAUAUGAAUUUAAAGCAAUUCCUUCUUUUCCUGUCUCCUUCCUAUCUUAGGCUUCAGUUUCUGUUUCUUUCCCAUCAAUCCUUAUUUACCCUUCCCAGAUUAGAGAUCAUUCUUCUGAUUUAACAAAGCUGACUCAAGGUAGGAGUGACACAGUUCAUAGGUUAUCUGUUGACAAUUAAUCUCAAGUAAGGAAGCUGGCCUUUAUUAUUUUUAUUGAGAAAGCAUUUUUAAGUCUUUUAAAGUUUUCCUUAGGUUAUCUGUUGACAAUUAAUCCCAAGUAAGGAAGCUGGCCUUUAUUAUUUUUAUUGAGAAAGCAUUUUUAAGUCUUUUAAAGUUUUUCUUUCCUUAAGACUUCUGACAAAUAUCUACUUUAAAAAAAAAAACAACACCAUAUUAAGAUAUAAUUGUUAUAUAUAUAGUAAGCUGCACAUAUUGAAAAUAUACAAUUUGCUAAGUUUCGACAUGUGUAUUGCAUAAAACCAUCACCAUAGUCAAGAUACCGAACAUAUCUGUAACCCCUAAAGUUCUCUAGUCUCCCUUGGUAACCCCCUUUAUUCCCCAGAAACCACUAUUUGUUUUCUUUACACUAUUUGACGUGUCGUAGAAUACAGUAUGCGCUCAUUUUUGGUCUAGCUUCUUUCACCCAGCACGAUUAUUUUGAGAUUCAUCCAUUAUUGUAGUGUGUAUCAGUAGUUUAUUUCUUUUGAUUGCUAAGUGGUUUUCCGUUGUAUGGAUAUACUACAGUUUGUGUAUCCUUUAAUCUCUUUAUAAACAGUGGGUUGUUUUUAGUUUGGGGCUUUUACAAAUAAAGCUGCUGUGAACAUCCACAUACAUGCCUUCGUAUGGACCUGGGCCCCCAUUUCUCUUGGAUAAGUACCUAGGAGCGGAAUAGUUGAAUCACAUGUGUGUGUGAGAGACGGGAGGGCUGGGAGAGGGAAGGGAUUAAAGAAAUUGGCUCACAUGAAUGUAGGGGCUGACAAGUCUACAAUCCUUAGGACAGGCCAGCAGGCUGGACCCUCAGACGAGAAAGUUGGUGUUGCAGUCCUGAGUCUAAAGUCUGUAGGAUAGGAUUUCUGUUCCUGUCUUGACUCAGAAUUCCUUCUUCCUCAGGAAACCUCAGUGUUUGGCUCCAAAAACCUUCAACUGAUUGGAUGUGGCCCACCCACAUUAUGGAGGAUAAUCUUUACUUAAAGUCAUCUGAUUAUAAAAUUCAGUCACAUCUACAAAAUACGUUCAUAGCAGCAUCUUAACUAGUGUUUUAUGAGGACACAAUGACCAGAGCUGUGAAAAGUCAUUUUGCAAACAUGAGGCAACAAGCCUGGGGAUGCAAAGCAACUUCUCUCUCCUCCAAAAGAACCGGGUUGGAGCCAGGAAAGAGAGAUGCUUAGAGCUCCCUCCUAAACCAAGCACGGAGGUUAAGGAACUUGCCCCGCAUCACCAGCUGGUGCAAGGCAGAUAGAACCGGGAUUUGAACCCAGUUCAUUUUAGGUAUUGGGAGCUCAGUUCUCCUCGUCGCCAUGUGGCGCUGAGGACAGAACACGUGCUUUGCAGUCAGACAGACCUGAGCUGUGACUGACCAGCGUUCAGUUGCAGAGCCAUCGGGAUCGCCGAAGAAACAGAUCUGGUCUAGCUUCCAGGAGCAGUAACCAGAGGCCACACGGCUGACCUUAACUGUCAGGGGAGCUGCGGGCUCCAGAACCUCAGUCCCGCCAUCCUAGUCAAGGAGGAAAGUGACACAGUCAGGAACAGCCACUGCCACCGCAGCUCCAGCCCCGGGCGUGUCUGCCCCUCGCCCCACAGAACAGCAGCCCCACCCUGCUCUCGUCCUGAGCCUGUUUUCUCUCCAUCAGGUUCAGUGUUCUGAAACAGACACCAUUUCUGCUGUCUUUCUAGUAAACCAUUUUCCUCAUGUUCUUCUAGUGCCAGAAAUGUACCUAUCUGUGGUGUCGCAGCACCGGUGAAGCCGUCCUCAUUGUCAGCCGGCCAGCAAGUGGUCUCUCUCAAAUCCUAUUUGAGAGUCAGCUUCCCAGGACCACUUCCGGUGCCACCUGCCUCAGACUGCGAUUCCUCUGGACCCUGAGACGUAGUCGCACACAAAGUUCAUCCGGGACCGUUUUCAGGAGACGCAGCUCUGAGGAAGGCAGGCAGGCCGGAAUGGGUGGAGGGCGAAGCCGACCUGUGAUGCGGUUGUAGCUGCCUCAGCCAACCCAAAGGCGCCAUCCACGCACCCCUUUCUGCCACGGAUGCUUCAGGCACCUUCAGAUCGACUGGCUUACGUGGCCCAAAGGGAAGAGCCUCCUGCACGCCAACUGGCCUCU